rnacentral:rRNA from 1 species
GGGCUUCUAAACUUGCUCAUUAUGAUCUACCUUAAUAACCGCCUGAGUACUACAAGCGCUAGCAUUUAAACCCAAAGGACUUGGCGGUGCUCCAAAUCCACCUAGAGGAGCCUGUUCUAUAACCGAUAAUCCGCGUUCAACCUCACCACUUCUUGCUUAUCCACCGCCUAUAUACCGCCGUCGUCAGCUCACCCUAUGAAGGCACAGUAGUAAGCAAAAUGAUCUACCUCUUCAAUACGUCAGGUCGAGGUGUAGCGAAUGAAGUGGGAAGAAAUGGGCUACAUUCUCUCUUUCGAGUAAUACGAAUAGAAGAAUGAAAAUCUUCUUAAAGGCGGAUUUAGUAGUAAGUAAACUUUAGAACAUUAUACUGAAACCGGCUCUGGAGCGCGCACACACCGCCGAUUCACCCUACAAAAAAAGCCUGUCCCCAAAAAUUUUGGGGGGAAGCUAAAAUUAUCAUAAUGGGUGGGGGGGGGGGGAAAAAAAAAAAAAGUGUGUGGGGGGGGGGGGGGGGGGGGGGGGGGGUUUUUUUUUCUCUUUGUGUUUUUUUUUUUGGUUGGUUGGUG